GCGGACGGGUGAGUAACGCGUGAGAAUUUGCCUUUCGGAUGGGGAUAACAGAGGGAAACCUCUGCUAAUACCCAAUGUGCAGCGAUGUGAAAGAUUUAUCGCCGAAAGAGAAGCUCGCGUCUGAUUAGCUAGUUGGUGGGGUAAAGGCUCACCAAGGCGACGAUCAGUAGCCGGUCUGAGAGGAUGAUCGGCCACACUGGGACUGAGACACGGCCCAGACUCCUACGGGAGGCAGCAGUGGGGAAUUUUCCGCAAUGGGCGAAAGCCUGACGGAGCAACGCCGCGUGUGGGAAGAAAGCUCUUGGGCUGUAAACCACUUUUCUCAGGGAAGAAGUUCUGACGGUACCUGAGGAAAUCAGCCUCGGCUAACUCCGUGCCAGCAGCCGCGGUAAUACGGAGGAGGCAAGCGUUAUCCGGAAUUAUUGGGCGUAAAGGGUCCGCAGGGGGCUCAUCAAGUCUGCUGUUAAAGGUCGGAGCUUAACUCCGAUGUAGCAGUGGAAAC
rnacentral:rRNA from 1 species